AAGCAGCCUCGUGAGAGUGAGCAAAGCNCAAAAAUAACCGUCCCAGUUCGGAUUGUAGUCUGCAACCCGACUACAUGAAGCUGGAAUCGCUAGUAAUCGCAAAUCAGAAUGUUGCGGUGAAUACGUUCCCGGGCCUUGUACACACCGCCCGUCAAACCAUGAGAGUUGGCAACACCCGAAGUCGGUAGUCUAACCGCAAGGAGGACGCCGCCGAAGGUGGGGUUGAUGAUUAGGGUUAAGUCGUAACAAGGUAGC
rnacentral:rRNA from 1 species